UCCUCGGUGAAGCGGCAGUAUCUUGGGAACCAGCACCUCUCCAGGGCAGUGCGUGCCCUGAGUUAGGCUCUGGGUGCAGGGCUGGGCAGCGGCACAUGCACAGGGACAUCCUUCUGGUGGCACAGGACCUCUGGGACCUCGUCACCUGGGUCAAUGGAUAAUCCCAUUGGUCUCCAGCUGAGAAAGGGCUGGAGGGGGUGUGAGAUGCCCACAUGGCACAAAGAAACCCAGUGCUGUAUGACGGACAGUGCCUGGCUUCCACCACCACUGCUCUGCAAGGAUAGGAAAAAAAAAAUGCCCUAAAAGACACAAUUCAUGGGAUGCUGAGCGAAAAGCUGUCCAGAACCCCCCCUGCACGUCCUUGGUGGGCAUCAAAGAGCCUGGCCCCGGCACAGCGGGAGAGCUGCAGGGCUCAGCACCUGCCGGGAUGGGGCCCCGGCCGACUAUAAAUGCACAGUAGGCCUCCCUGAAUAGAUGUGUUGCGGGACAGCUCGGACUGGGAACGGCGAGCGGUGCGGCUGUGGGAAGGCCAGAUGGGAACAGCAGGGGCAACUUGUGAUGAAUCCCCAGCAACUCUUCCACCAAAAUAUUCUUCACAACAGCAUUAAAUUAGCUUUGCAUUAAUCUAGCAACAAGUAAAGAAGUUUUCUACAAAUAUAUAUAUAUAUAUAUAUAUGAAUAAUAUAUAUAUAUAUGAAUAAAUAAAUCAAAACAGCAAAGCUCUGCUUUGAGUUCAGGGCUGACUUUUCCAUCUUGCCCAAAUGACUUGGGAGCACAAGCCCUCCCAAGAUCCGAUUUUCAAAGACAUUUACAUGCUGAGAUAUCCAGGACUGAUGGAGUGUCCCCAUGUUGUUGUGUCCCUCCUGCCAACCUCACCACAACAGCAGAUGCCUGCAGGUGCUCCAGCUGCAAGGUUUCCGUGGCGCUGCAGCCGCGACCUUGGGUCUUUAUUGGCUCUCCGAAUGGACCCUUUAUAGACUCCAGAUGGAAAGUGUAAAAUUAAUAACCCCUGGCUGGCAAACACCCAUAUGUUUUCCACCUUCUCCUGAGAUACAAUUUGUUUAUGGUGACAUUUAUUUAAUGCAAAUUAACAUAUAAAUGAAGAUGCAUGGCUCUUUCCAAAGACCUGAGAAAACUGGUUUGUGCGGUGCCAGAGGUGCAUGGCCACAUCAACCAUCAACCAUCCACCAGAGAGGCUUGUUUGGAAUUACCUGGAGCCUUUUUGAUUCUCUCCAGCCAGAAGGAAUUCAACCAGCCUCCCUCCAGGCCCAUUUUCUUUAACAAUAUACACGGGGCUGACCCUGGAGGUGCUAAUUGCUCUUUAUCUAAGCCAGCUGUUUCUCCCACUCCACCAGUGCUUUUGGUGGUGGAAGGAAUACAAUGCAUUAUCAGGAAACAAGAUACAUGUGUACAAAGGGUAUUGACUGGCGGGAGGUUAAAGAUACAGCACAAAGAGAGGCAGUCUUACAGGGGUACCCUGUUAACUAGUGAUGGAUGAGCCACUGGAAGAAGAAAGCUCUUCAAGGUUGGACUGAUAAGACCCCCAGCCACUUGGUGCCUCCCCAAGGUGCCGUGACCAGGACCAACCUCAACAUCUAUCCCUGGCUCUGGCUUCCUUCUCCUCCUACUUUUCUUCCUCCUCCUCCCAGCAGACAACCCAGGACAGGCCAAACUUGGCAUGGAAAGCCCUUCCACAAAGCCACCCCUGCGUCCCAUUUGUCCGCCAGCGACCUUAGUUAAACCGGCGCAAGUUUCUUAAUUCCACGCCAGCCUAAGCCUUUAAAAACUGUUGACUUUCCAGAAAAGCAGGAAGCGGGUAAACACAGCGAUUGGCUGCUCUUCCUGCUGACCACAUGUCACCAGAAUGCAAGAGAAAAAAAAAUUCUAUUGGGCUUUUAUUUAACAUGAAUUUGAAUGUAUUCCAGGUCACUGAUCACAUAAGCGAUCAC